rnacentral:lncRNA from 1 species
AUGCAGGCCUGCUCGACCUCUGUAACAAAUACAGUCAGCACCAUCUACAGAGCUGUCUCAGGUACCCCUCGGGCCUGCUGCUUGUCCAGGUCCACCUGGCACCCCAGGAACCGCUGGUUUAGCAUCUGCAGCUGGCGGCUAAGGCAGACACAUUGUGCUCGCAGCCACUGCAGCUCAGGAGGCUCUGAGCUGGCUGGGGGCUGCUGUUCUAGGGCAUGCCGGAAGCGCGCCAAGGCCGAGAGGACAGCCUCCAGCUUGAUGAAGUGGGCCUCUUUCUGCUUGUUCAUAGCUUCAAUUUCUAAAUCUCUCUGCACAAUUACAGCUUCCUUUUCCUUCAGGACAGCUUCAAACUCCUGGAUCCGGGAGGUCAUACCCUUGACCUCAGCCUCCCUGAGCGCCAUGUUGUGUCCAUGCUCGGCCAGCUGCCGUGUGGCAGCCUCCUCUGCAGCUUGCAGGCGCUGCUGCAGGCCCUCCAGAGCCUGGCUGUGUCCAUGUGCCUGGUCAGCCAGCAGCUGCGCCAGGGUCUCCUUGGCCACAAGUGCAGCUUCGAGCUCUCCCUGAAGUGCCUGCCCACCUGGGCCCUCAGCUUGGAAGCACAGCAGCUCGCUGUGGAGACUAUCGGCUUGACGGUCACUGAGUUCAUGUACCACAGGCCCCAGUAGGGUCAGCUCAGCCUGCAGCUUCUCAAUGACUUCAUGGAGCUGCUCAAUUUCUUCUGCUUUAUCCUUUUGUAAUCGUUCCUGGUUCUCUUGCAAAUUUUCAAUAAUGGAUUUCAGCUCUUCAACCUCAGAACUUCUGUGGUACACAACCUAAAGAGAAAGCACAUUGCACAGCCCAGUUGUAAAUGGACAAACCUCAACACCUCCAUUUUUGAUACACAGUUCACCAUGAAUCUGUCCCAUGGAGUAGAGACCUGACAGCCUGUAAAACCAAACAGUGACAGGUGCAGAUCAGCGUCACCAGACGGCACUUGUUCUGCGCCAGUGGCUCCAGGCAGAGAAGACACCAGGGUGGCGUCACCACCUUCCCAAUACUUCUACUCUCAAGCUCAUGGGGCUCCCACUUACCCCUUUUCAGUCAAGAAUGGCUACAAAAUAGGAUAGGCUGGGAACUUAGCUCAGUGGCACCAUGCCUGCCUUGAAAGCACAAGGUUCUGAGUUCGAUUCCCAGUACCACACACACACAAAAAAGAAUGGCUACAGAAUAAUGCUUUCACUGUCAUUUAAAAGCUUACUUGGGGCUGGGGAUUUGGCUCAGUGGUUCCGGUACCUGCCUCGAAAUUGAAAGGUCCCGAGUUCAAUCCCUGGUACGAAAAGAAAAAAUAAAAGCUUGCUUGGCUAAUAUUUAAAUGCCUUUGAUUUGUUUGGUUUUCCUGAAGAUGCAUUUAGACUAGGGGUCACCCCAGUAACAGAAUAAACAUGAGGAAGCUGGCCAGAAGAUGCAUACCAGCAAAGAAC